rnacentral:rRNA from 1 species
GGAUGAACGCUGGCGGCGUGCCUACUCCAUGCAAGUCGAGCGAACGGACGAGAAGCUUGCUUCUCUGAUGUUAGCGGCGGACGGGUGAGUAACACGUGGAUAACCUACCUAUAAGACUGGGAUAACUUCGGGAAACCGGAGCUAAUACCGGAUGAUAUUUUGAACCGCAUGGUUCAAAAGUGAAAGACGGUCUUGCUGUCACUUAUAGAUGGAUCCGCGCUGCAUUAGCUAGUUGGUAAGGUAACGGCUUACCAAGGCAACGAUGCAUAGCCGACCUGAGAGGGUGAUCGGCCACACUGGAACUGAGACACGGUCCAGACUCCUACGGGAGGCAGCAGUAGGGAAUCUUCCGCAAUGGGCGAAAGCCUGACGGAGCAACGCCGCGUGAGUGAUGAAGGUCUUCGGAUCGUAAAACUCUGUUAUUAGGGAAGAACAUAUGUGUAAGUAACUGUGCACAUCUUGACGGUACCUAAUCAGAAAGCCACGGCUAACUACGUG